GAUGAAGAACGUAGUGAAAUGCGAUAAGUAAUGUGAAUUGCAGAUUUCAGUGAAUCAUCGAAUCUUUGAACGCACCUUGCGCCUUGUGGUAUUCCACAAGGCAUGCCCGUUUGAGUAUCAUUAAAUCAUCAACUCUAAAACCUUUGUGGUUUUUUUUAGAGCUUGGUCUUGAGGGUUUUGCAGGCUUUUUUUUUUUUUCGAGUCUGCUCCCUUUAAAUGCAUUAGCGAGACUUCCCUAUGCUGAAGCGUCUCUUUGACGUGAUAAUUAUCUGCGUCGAAUUUUGGUUCUCGUUGGGCUUGCUUCUAAUCGUCUGUUAAAGACAAAACGGAUUUGGGUGCAUAUAUGCGCCUUUUUCCAAAACCUUUUUUUGAUCUCAAAUCGGGUAGGACUACCCGCUGAACUUAAGCAUAUCAAUAAGCGGAGGA
rnacentral:misc_RNA from 1 species